CCUACGGGAGGCAGCAGUAGGGAAUAUUGCUCAAUGGGGGAAACCCUGAAGCAGCAACGCCGCGUGGAGGAUGAAGGUUUUCGGAUUGUAAACUCCUUUUGUUAGAGAAGAUAAUGACGGUAUCUAACGAAUAAGCACCGGCUAACUCCGUGCCAGCAGCCGCGGUAAUACGGAGGGUGCAAGCGUUAUCCGGAUUCACUGGGCGUAAAGAGCGCGUAGGCGGGAUUGCAAGUCAGAUGUGAAAUGCCAUGGCUUAACCAUCGAACUGCAUUUGAAACUGUUAUUCUAGAGUAUGGGAGAGGUAGGUGGAAUUCUUGGUGUAGGGGUGAAAUGCGUAGAGAUCAAGAGGAAUACUCAUUGCGAAGGCGGCCUACUAGAACAUAACUGACGCUGAUGCUCGAAAGCGUGGGGAGCAAACAGGAUUAGAUACCCUAGUAGUC
rnacentral:rRNA from 1 species